UACGGAGGAUGCAAGCGUUAUCCGGAAUGAUUGGGCGUAAAGCGUCCGCAGGUGGCUGUGUAAGUCUGCUGUUAAAGAGUCUAGCUCAACUAGAUACAAGCAGUGGAAACUACACGGCUAGAGUACGUUCGGGGCAGAGGGAAUUCCUGGUGUAGCGGUGAAAUGCGUAGAUAUCGGGAGGAACACCAGUGGCGAAGGCGACUUCCUGGCCUGUUCUUGACGCUGAGGCGCGAAAGCUAGGGUAGCAAACGGG
rnacentral:rRNA from 1 species